rnacentral:rRNA from 1 species
GAUGAACGCUAGCUACAGGCUUAACACAUGCAAGUCGAGGGGCAGCAUGGUCUUAGCUUGCUAAGGCCGAUGGCGACCGGCGCACGGGUGAGUAACACGUAUCCAACCUGCCGUCUACUCUUGGACAGCCUUCUGAAAGGAAGAUUAAUACAAGAUGGCAUCAUGAGUCCGCAUGUUCACAUGAUUAAAGGUAUUCCGGUAGACGAUGGGGAUGCGUUCCAUUAGAUAGUAGGCGGGGUAACGGCCCACCUAGUCUUCGAUGGAUAGGGGUUCUGAGAGGAAGGUCCCCCACAUUGGAACUGAGACACGGUCCAAACUCCUACGGGAGGCAGCAGUGAGGAAUAUUGGUCAAUGGGCGAGAGCCUGAACCAGCCAAGUAGCGUGAAGGAUGACUGCCCUAUGGGUUGUAAACUUCUUUUAUAAAGGAAUAAAGUCGGGUAUGCAUACCCGUUUGCAUGUACUUUAUGAAUAAGGAUCGGCUAACUCCGUGCCAGCAGCCGCGGUAAUACGGAGGAUCCGAGCGUUAUCCGGAUUUAUUGGGUUUAAAGGGAGCGUAGAUGGAUGUUUAAGUCAGUUGUGAAAGUUUGCGGCUCAACCGUAAAAUUGCAGUUGAUACUGGAUAUCUUGAGUGCAGUUGAGGCAGGCGGAAUUCGUGGUGUAGCGGUGAAAUGCUUAGAUAUCACGAAGAACUCCGAUUGCGAAGGCAGCCUGCUAAGCUGCAACUGACAUUGAGGCUCGAAAGUGUGGGUAUCAAACAGGAUUAGAUACCCUGGUAGUCCACACGGUAAACGAUGAAUACUCGCUGUUUGCGAUAUACAGCAAGCGGCCAAGCGAAAGCGUUAAGUAUUCCACCUGGGGAGUACGCCGGCAACGGUGAAACUCAAAGGAAUUGACGGGGGCCCGCACAAGCGGAGGAACAUGUGGUUUAAUUCGAUGAUACGCGAGGAACCUUACCCGGGCUUAAAUUGCAGAUGAAUUACGGUGAAAGCCGUAAGCCGCAAGGCAUCUGUGAAGGUGCUGCAUGGUUGUCGUCAGCUCGUGCCGUGAGGUGUCGGCUUAAGUGCCAUAACGAGCGCAACCCUUGUUGUCAGUUACUAACAGGUUCCGCUGAGGACUCUGACAAGACUGCCAUCGUAAGAUGUGAGGAAGGUGGGGAUGACGUCAAAUCAGCACGGCCCUUACGUCCGGGGCUACACACGUGUUACAAUGGGGGGUACAGAGGGCCGCUACCACGCGAGUGGAUGCCAAUCCCAAAAACCUCUCUCAGUUCGGACUGGAGUCUGCAACCCGACUCCACGAAGCUGGAUUCGCUAGUAAUCGCGUAUCAGCCACGGCGCGGUGAAUACGUUCCCGGGCCU